rnacentral:rRNA from 1 species
GACGAACGCUGGCGGCGUGCCUAAUACAUGCAAGUUGAGCGCUGAAGGUUGGUACUUGUACCAACUGGAUGAGCAGCGAACGGGUGAGUAACGCGUGGGGAAUCUGCCUUUGAGCGGGGGACAACAUUUGGAAACGAAUGCUAAUACCGCAUAAAAACUUUAAACACAAGUUUUAAGUUUGAAAGAUGCAAUUGCAUCACUCAAAGAUGAUCCCGCGUUGUAUUAGCUAGUUGGUGAGGUAAAGGCUCACCAAGGCGAUGAUACAUAGCCGACCUGUGAGGGUGAUCGGCCACAUUGGGACUGAGACACGGCCCAAACUCCCACGGGAGGCAGCAGUAGGGAAUCUUCGGCAAUGGACGAAAGUCUGACCGAGCAACGCCGCGUGAGUGAAGAAGGUUUUCGGAUCGUAAAACUCUGUUGGUAGAGAAGAACGUUGGUGAGAGUGGAAAGCUCAUCAAGUGACGGUAACUACCCAGAAAGGGACGGCUAACUACGUG